rnacentral:rRNA from 1 species
AGUGAACGCUGGCGGUAGGCCUAACACAUGCAAGUCGAACGGCAGCACAGUAAGAGCUUGCUCUUACGGGUGGCGAGUGGCGGACGGGUGAGGAAUACAUCGGAAUCUACUUUUUCGUGGGGGAUAACGUAGGGAAACUUACGCUAAUACCGCAUACGACCUACGGGUGAAAGCAGGGGAUCUUCGGAACUUGCGCGAUUGAAUGAGUCGAUGUCGGAUUAGCUAGUUGGCGGGGUAAAGGCCCACCAAGGCGACGAUCCGUAGCUGGUCUGAGAGGAUGAUCAGCCACACUGGAACUGAGACACGGUCCAGACUCCUACGGGAGGCAGCAGUGGGGAAUAUUGGACAAUGGGCGAAAGCCUGAUCCAGCCAUACCGCGUGGGUGAAGAAGGCCUUCGGGUUGUAAAGCCCUUUUGUUGGGAAAGAAAAGCAGCAGGUUAAUACCCCGCUGUUCUGACGGUACCCAAAGAAUAAGCACCGGCUAACUUCGUG